GUGGUACCUGAAGGGAGGUUUUCUGGGUUUCUGUUUCUUUAAUGAGGAUGAAACACACCUGGUUAACCUCUUUUCCAGUAUCAA
ensembl:miRNA